AGAACAAAAGCAAACAUCGCAGGUAAAUCCAAAGAUGAUCAGAAAUAUAUGGGUGGUUAUGAUGAAACGUACAGUAUCGUCUUCUAUGAAUGCAACAUUGAGUGAAAACUGCAGCACCUCAGAGAUGAAGGCUACAUCAGCUCAGAGAGAUACAGAGUGUUCAAAGCUCUCUGACAUUAGCUCAGAGGAAAAUGUUGUUUCCUGUAUCAUUAUCACAUUUAUUUCUCAUGUACAGCU